rnacentral:rRNA from 1 species
UGCUUAACACAUGCAAGUCAAGGGGGCCCAGCAAUGGGCAACCGGCGAACGGGUGCGUAACACGUGAGCAACCUACCGAACUGUGGGGGAUAGCCGGCCUAACGGCCGAGUAAUACCGCAUACGCUUUCAUUGAGGCAUUUCAGUGAAAGGAAACCUACGGGACAGAUCGAGGGGCUCGCGGCCUAUCAGCUAGUUGGCGAGGUAACGGCUCACCAAGGCAACGACGGGUAGCUGGUCUGAGAGGAUGGACAGCCACACGGGCACUGAGAUACGGGCCCGACUCCUACGGGAGGCAGCAGUAAGGAAUAUUGGUCAAUGGGCGAAAGUCUGAACCAGCCAUGCCGCGUGAAGGAUGAAGGCCCUCUGGGUUGUAAACUUCUUUUAUCUAUGAAGAAAUGUCCUGUUUCUACGGGACUUGACGGUAAUAGAUGAAUCAGCACCGGCUAACUCCGUGCCAGCAGCCGCGGUAAUACGGAGGGUGCAAGCGUUAUCCGGAUUUACUGGGUUUAAAGGGUGCGUAGGUGGGUUGGUAAGUCAGUGGUGAAAUACUUUCGCUUAACGAAGGAACUGCCAUUGAUACUACCAGUCUUGAAUACAGUGGAGGUAGGCGGAAUGCGUCAUGUAGCGGUGAAAUGCUUAGAUAUGACGCAGAACACCAAUUGCGAAGGCAGCUUGCUACACUGUUAUUAACACUGAGGCACGAAAGCGU